AGCGAACGCUGGCGGCAGGCCUAACACAUGCAAGUCGAGCGGCCGUAGCAAUACGGCAGCGGCAGACGGGAGAGUAACACGUGGGAACGCGCUCUUCGGUUCGGGAUAACUCAGGGAAACUUGGGCUAAUACCGGAUACGCCCUUACGGGGAAAGAUUUAUUGCCGAAGGAACGGCCCGCGUCCGAUGAGCUUGUUGGUGAGGUAACGGCUCACCAAGGCGACGAUCGGUAGCUGGUCUGAGAGGAUGACCAGCCUCACUGGGACUGAGACACGGCCCAGACUCCUACGGGAGGCAGCAGUGGGGAAUAUUGGACAACGGGCGCAAGCCUGAUCCAGCCAUGCCGCGUGGGUGAUGAAGGCCCUAGGGUUGUAAAGCCCUUUCAGCGGGGAAGAUAAUGACGGUACCCGCAGAAGAAGCCCCGGCUAACUUCGUGCCAGCCGCCUCCGUAAAAC
rnacentral:rRNA from 1 species